UACGUAGGUGGCAAGCGUUAUCCGAAUUUAUUGGGCGUAAAGAGAACGCAGGCGGUCUUUUAAGUCUGAUGUGAAAGCCUUCGGCUUAGCCGGAGUAGUGCAUUGGAAACUGGGAGACUUGAGUGCAGAAGAGGAGAGUGGAACUCCAUGUGUAGCGGUGAAAUGCGUAGAUAUAUGGAAGAACACCAGUGGCGAAAGCGGCUCUCUGGUCUGUAACUGACGCUGAGGUUCGAAAGCGUGGGUAGCAAACAGG
rnacentral:rRNA from 1 species